rnacentral:rRNA from 1 species
GACGAACGCUGGCGGCGUGCCUAACACAUGCAAGUCGAACGGACAGGCCCUGCUUUUGUGCGGUUCUCGAGUGGCGAACGGGUGAGUAACACGUGAGUAUCCUGUCCUUGACUGUCGGAUAACUUCACGAAACUGGGGCUAAUACCGCAUAGGAUCUCUUGCCGCAUGGGGUGCGUUGGUAAGUUUCGGCUGUUGGGGAUGGAAUAGCGGCUUACGAGCUUGAUGGGGAGGUAGUGGCGUACCAAGGCUUUGACGGGUAGCCGACCUGGGAGGGUGACCGGCCACAUUACGCCUGAGGUACGCCCCAGACUCGUAUGGGCGGCAGCGGGGGAGAGUCUUGCACAGCAGGCCGGCGCGUGAUGUAAAAGUGCCCCGAGCGGAAUGACGUGCUUCGGGUUGUGAACCGAUUUCGACUGAGCCGAAGCGUUCGUGACGGUACCGGGUCAAGAAGCACCGGCUAACUACGUG